rnacentral:rRNA from 1 species
UACGUAGGGAGCGAGCGUUGUCCGGAUUCAUUGGGCGUAAAGAGCUCGUAGGCGGCUUGGUAAGUCGGAUGUGAAACCUCCAGGCUCAACCUGGAGUCGCCAUCCGAUACUGCCAUGGCUAGAGUCCGGUAGGGGCCCACGGAAUUCCUGGUGUAGCGGUGAAAUGCGCAGAUAUCAGGAGGAACACCGGUGGCGAAGGCGAUCACCUGGGGUUGUUCUGACGCUGAGGAGCGAAAGCUAGGGGAGCAAACGGG